GAUGAACGCUCGCUCCAGGCUUAACACAUGCAAGUCGCGGGGCAGCAUGGGGGUUGCUUGCAAUCCCCGAUGGCGACCGGCGCACGGGUGAGUAACGCGUAUCCAACCUGCCCUUCACCACGGGAUAACCCGGCGAAAGUCGGACUAAUACCGUAUGUUGUCCAUUGACGGCAUCCGAUUUGGACGAAAGGUUUGGCGGUGAAGGAUGGGGAUGCGUCCGAUUAGCUGGACGGCGGGGUGACGGCCCACCGUGGCGACGAUCGGUAGGGGUUCUGAGAGGAAGGUCCCCCACACUGGAACUGAGACACGGUCCAGACUCCUACGGGAGGCAGCAGUGAGGAAUAUUGGUCAAUGGGCGUAAGCCUGAACCAGCCAAGUAGCGUGCAGGAUGACGGCCCUAUGGGUUGUAAACUGCUUUUAUGCGGGGAUAAAGUGGCCCACGUGUGGGUUUUUGCAGGUACCGCAUGAAUAAGGACCGGCUAAUUCCGUG
rnacentral:rRNA from 1 species